UCGGCAGCAUCACAGCUCCUUACAGUAUGUCAUAUAUUUAGGUAGUUAUAAUAAGGCUCUUCCUUAUAUCCUCAUGGGAAGUCUCACAAUUUCCUCAUCUGCCUUCUCCUUCUGGAGACCCUCAACAGAGAUCUUCCAGAAACAGUGGAGCAGAUGCAGGAAUGUCAGGGGUUGUGUAAUGGGCUG